rnacentral:rRNA from 1 species
ACGUAGGGUGCGAGCGUUGUCCGGAAUUACUGGGCGUAAAGAGCUCGUAGGCGGUUUGUCGCGUCGUCUGUGAAAUUCUGCAACUCAAUUGCAGGCGUGCAGGCGAUACGGGCAGACUUGAGUACUACAGGGGAGACUGGAAUUCCUGGUGUAGCGGUGAAAUGCGCAGAUAUCAGGAGGAACACCGGUGGCGAAGGCGGGUCUCUGGGUAGUAACUGACGCUGAGGAGCGAAAGCGUGGGUAGCGAACAGG